rnacentral:SRP_RNA from 1 species
GCCAGGCACGGUGGUGUGUAACCUAUAGUCCCAGCUACUCAGAAGGCUGAGGUGGGAGGAUCGCUUGAGCCCAGGACUUCUGGGCUGUAGUGCGCUAUGCCGAUGGGGUGUCCGCACUAAGUUUGGCAUCAAUAUGGUUACCUCCUGGGAGCGGGUGACCACCAGGUUACCUAAGGAGGGGUGAACCAGCUCAGGUGGGAAACAGAGCAGGUCAAAACUCCCAUGCUGAUCAGUAGUGGGAUCGCGCCUGUGAAUAGCCACUGCACAGCAGCCUGGGCAACAUAUCGAGACCCUGUCUCU